rnacentral:rRNA from 1 species
UCGAGGAUCUUCGGCAAUGGGCGCAAGCCUGACCGAGCGACGCCGCGUGCGCGAUGAAGGCCUUCGGGUUGUAAAGCGCUGUCGAGGGGGAGGAAAGCCCGCAAGGGCCUGACCUAUCCCUGGAGGAAGCACGGGCUAAGUUCGUGCCAGCAGCCGCGGUAAGACGAACCGUGCGAACGUUGUUCGGAAUCACUGGGCUUAAAGGGCGCGUAGGCGGAUCGGCAAGUCGGGGGUGAAAUCUUUCGGCCCAACCGGAAAAGGGCCUCCGAUACUGCCGACCUCGAGGGAGGUAGGGGUCGAUGGAACUUCCGGUGGAGCGGUGAAAUGCGUAGAUAUCGGAAGGAACGCCGGUGGCGAAAGCGAUCGACUGGACCUCUUCUGACGCUGAGGCGCGAAAGCCAGGGGAGCGAACGGGAUUAGAUACCCCGGGUAGUCCUGGCCCUAAACGAUGGGCACCGGAUUGUGGACUUGACAUGGGUUCACAGUCGAGGCAAAAGUGUUAAGUGCCCCG